AUAGCCUCACCUUAGAGAGAAAUUUUUCAGAAAUUAGAAUUCAUUUGUUAGUUUCUUACUCUCUUUCUAAAAAUUGGGUUCUUUAGAAGUUCUGUCUUUUCUCUAAACAUUGUCCCAUCUUCUCUCUACCCUUUCUCAAAUUUCUACCAUUGCUUUUCCAAAUAGGUGGUGCCCCUAUGUUUCUGGAGUCGAGGGUUUCCAAUCCAUCCGAUUAGUUUCGCGUCUCUCCACUAAUAAGGUAAAUUUCCCAUUCUCCGCACCUUAGAGUUUUACUCAUACAAAGGUUCUACCUUACAAGUAGAGUUAUUUUUAUUUUCCUUAUCCUAUCAAGCUAUAAAGUCUAUGCUCUACACCAAUUUGGUGGCUUGUAGGUACUGUCGAAAUUAUCUCUAUGCAGAGGUAUUGUUAGGGCGUUUUCUAGGAAUUGUGCUGUGAGAACCAAAAGGUAAGGGGAGCUAGUUAUGUUUCUUUGAAUUGUUUAUAUGCUUUGUAUGUAUGGUGAAUUUUAUUUUGGUGUGCUGUUUUGGAAUUGCAUGUUAAGUUUUAUAAAUAUUGUGGGAUAUGUGAUGAGUUAUGAAACUGAUAAAAAGUGAGUAUACUUAAUUUAUGAUGACUUAUCUGUGUAGUGAUUUUAUUGAAUUUAAUGGUUGUAGAUUGAACUGUAAUGAGUUGUUUGGAAGUUGAAAAUUCUGUGUUAGCACUGUUAAGAAGGGGAAUCAAUGUUUGGGGUAGUUUUUAUGGGGAACUUAAUAUGUUGAUAUUAAGUAGAAAAUAUUAAUGGAUUUUGUGCGUUAUAAAUAUAAUAUAAUGUGUAAAGGGGAGAGAUUUAUGUUAAGGAUGAAGGCACGAUAUUCAUGAGUUGGUUAAAAUUUUAUAUUGAAUAUAUAUCAGGGGUGAGGCUUUCAAGUGUGAUGUGUAUAUGCAUAAAUAUUAUAUAAUAAAUAGUGGAAGAGCAGUGAUUGUUUUUGUUGCAAAGAGGGAGGAGCAUUUUGCUCUUAUCAGAUUUUGGAAAAUGGAUGGGUAGGAAAGAUAGGAUAUGUUCCACUUUACCAAAAGAAUAAAUAAAUAAAAUAAAAUCUGUUUAAAAAAGAUAGGGUAGAGUUUAUCUCUUUAUGAAAGCAUGGUUAUUUCUGGUGCAUAUAUAAAUCAAAUUCAGAGGGCUAUAUGGGUUGAGGGGAAAAGUGAAAGAAGUGUUUGGCUAAUGAUUUCUAGUGGGUCCGUGAUUGCUUUGAAGAUUUAGGGGAUACAUUGACUAUUAGCAUAUGUUGAGAGAUUACUAUUAGUAAUAUAUAUUGAUAUGUUCUUUUAUCUUAAAAUAUUUAUGAUAUUAAUAUAAUUUAGUAUUAUAUAUAUGGUGCAGGGAGUAGUUACAUAUAAAUUAUAUUAAUAUUAUAUAACAGUAACAAUAUGUAUGUUAAUGAAUUAUAUUAAUAUAAUAUAGUUAUAUAUAAAAAUUAGUAACACAUAUAAAUUAUAUUAAUAUUAUAUGUUAAUGAAUUAUAUUAAUAUAAUAUAGUUACAUACAAAAUUUAGUAGCAGUACGUAUGAUAUUAUAUUUUAUUUGUAUAAUAUAGUUUUAUAUAAUUAGUAGGUUUAUGAAUUUUAUAUAUGACGGUACGUAUGUUAAUGAAUUUUAGAUAGUAUAGUUUUAUAAUAUGAACGUUGGUUUAAUAUAAAUUAAAAAUGUUUGUGCAAUAAUUUAAUAUAAAUAUUAUAAUACUAUUAUGAUUUAAUAUAAUUAUUAUAAUAGAAUUAAAAGAAAGUAACUUUUCAUAUAUUCGAAUCUACAUAUAUUUAGGCAUUUGGAAGUAAUUAUAAAAAUUUUGGUGUUGAUAAAUUUAGAUUAAAUUUUAUGGAGCGGUUACUUUUAUAAAUUGUGAUAAAUGAGUUGAUGUCUGUUAUUGAUACUAUGUUUGAAAAGUAUAUGAUUACAAAAGUGAUGAAAUUACGAUUCAAGUAGUAAACCAAGUUUCAUCUAUGUAGAAUCUCUUGAUGAGAUUUUUAAUGUUUUAGAAUGAAAGUAGGAACUCAAGGGGGUCUUCCUAACGCUCCAACGGUCUUACUUUUUACAUAGAGAGGACUGAACCAUGUGGUGAGGAGUAGCAGGAGAUCUUAGUCUUGGAGGCUUCCAUCUUACUCCAGGGCGCGGAACAGACUAACCUCGUAAAUGUGGC
rnacentral:lncRNA from 1 species